rnacentral:rRNA from 1 species
UACCAGCACCCCGAGUGGUCGGGACGUUUAUUGGGCCUAAGGCAUCCGUAGCCGGUUCUACAAGUCUUCCGUUAAAUCCAACUGCUUAACAGGUGGGCUGCGGAAGAUACUAUAGAGCUAGGAGGCGGGAGAGGCAAGCGGUACUCGAUGGGUAGGGGUAAAAUCCGUUGAUCCAUUGAAGACCACCAGUGGCGAAGGCGGCUUGCCAGAACGCGCUCGACGGUGAGGGAUGAAAGCUGGGGGAGCAAACCGG